GACGAACCGAGCGAACGUUGUUCGGAAUCACUGGGCUUAAAGGGCGCGUAGGCGGGCCGCCGCGUCCGGGGUGAAAUCCUCCCGCUCAACGGGAGAACGGCCUCGGAUACGGGCGGCCUGGAGGGGGGUAGGGGCGUGCGGAACUGUGGGUGGAGCGGUGAAAUGCGUUGAUAUCCACAGGAACUCCGGUGGCGAAGGCGGCACGCUGGACCCCACCUGACGCUGAGGCGCGAAAGCCAGGGGAGCGAACGGG
rnacentral:rRNA from 3 species